UGUACCCCGAACCCUGAAGAAGGUGGUUUCUCAUUUCACUGACAUUAGCUGUAGCCAAUGGGACACCUAUCCUGUCCUCAGCAGGAAAAGACUUCAAAAAUGUGCAUCACAGAUAUUUCCCAAAAAUACGAGCGACAGCAGUAACUUCGAGAUUGCUCAAAUUGACAUGGAUAUUUUCACCGAAUAUCAUCAAGAUGAGUGUGACAAGAAACACAUGCUAAGACGGAUGGGGAGAUCCUGACAUGACGUUGAUGACAAGUCCCUCCCCCUUCUUCCAUAGUGCCAUGACCUCAGAUACCCAGCAGAUGUCGCUUUGGGGCCAUAGGUGGCAGCUGAAGCAUAGGAGAAAAAAGAACGAAGAAUCCAUGAAAAGAUGAAAAUCCAUUGGAAUUUUACAUCUUCGAAGGAGAAGCCCUCGGACGCACUUCUAGCCGUCCUUGAUGUUAUUUCCGAGUAAGUCGCCAACCAAACAGCCCAAACAAAAGAAGCACGUCCUUGCGAUCUCAGACAGAUCAGGCGCAAAAAGCGAAUAAAAUCCAUGGUUACAAGCGAAAAAUCAGAAGUAAAACUUACAUUGGCAUGAUGCUAGGUAUGAAGUUACUGCAAGCAGCAACAGAA